UAGAAGUCAGGUCGGAUUAAGCCAUAGUACGGGAAAAACUAUGCUACCUGUGAGCCCCGUCCAAGGACGUUAAAAGAAGUCAGGCCACUACAAGUGCCAUAGCUUGAGCAAACUAUGCAGCCUGUAGCUCCACCUGGGAAGGUGUAAAAAAUCUGGGAGGCCACAAACCAUGGAAGCUGUACGCAUGGCGUAGUGGACUAGCGGUUAGAGGAGACCCCUCCCUUGCAAGUCGCAGCAACAAUGGGGGCCCAAGGUGAGAUGAAGCUGUAAUCUCACUGGAA
rnacentral:lncRNA from 1 species